rnacentral:rRNA from 1 species
AGGACGAACGCUGGCGGCGUGCUUAACACAUGCAAGUCGAGCGGAAAGGCCCUUCGGGGUACUCGAGCGGCGAACGGGUGAGUAACACGUGAGUAACCUGCCCCAGGCUUUGGGAUAACCCUCGGAAACGGGGGCUAAUACCGGAUAUUCACUUCUCGUGGCAUCACGGGUGGUGGAAAGUUUUUCGGCUUGGGAUGGGCUCGCGGCCUAUCAGCUUGUUGGUGGGGUGAUGGCCUACCAAGGCGACGACGGGUAGCCGGCCUGAGAGGGCGACCGGCCACACUGGGACUGAGACACGGCCCAGACUCCUACGGGAGGCAGCAGUGGGGAAUAUUGCACAAUGGGCGGAAGCCUGAUGCAGCGACGCCGCGUGAGGGAUGAAGGCCUUCGGGUUGUAAACCUCUUUCGACAGGGACGAAGCGCAAGUGACGGUACCUGGAGAAGAAGCACCGGCCAACUACGCGCCAGCAGCCGC